UAAGCGGAGGAAAAGAAACUAACAAGGAUUCCCCUAGUAACUGCGAGUGAAGCGGGAAAAGCUCAAAUUUAAAAUCUGGUGGCCUUUGUCCAUCCGAGUUGUAAUUUAGAGAAGCGUCUUCCGCGCUGGACCGUGCACAAGUCUCCUGGAACGGAGCGUCAUAGAGGGUGAGAAUCCCGUCUUUGGCACGGACACACCAGGGCUUUUGUGAUGCGCUCUCAAAGAGUCGAGUUGUUUGGGAAUGCAGCUCAAAAUGGGUGGUGAACUCCAUCUAAAGCUAAAUAUUGGCGAGAGACCGAUAGCGAACAAGUACCGUGAGGGAAAGAUGAAAAGCACUUUGGAAAGAGAGUUAAACAGUACGUGAAAUUGUUGAAAGGGAAGCGCUUGCAACCAGACUUGCGCGCUGUUGAUCAUCCGAGGUUCUCCCCGGUGCACUCGGCAGCGUUCAGGCCAGCAUCGGUUUUGGUGGGCGGAUAAAGGCCUUGGGAAUGUAGCUUCUUUCGGGGAGUGUUAUAGCCCUCGGUGCAAUGCGCCCUACCGGGACCGAGGACCGCGCUUCGGCUAGGAUGCUGGCGUAAUGGUUGUAAGCGACC
rnacentral:rRNA from 1 species